CAUCAUUCAUUUAUUGUUUACCAUAACCCAUUGCACACAAAGGUUGCAAAAUCUCCAAGUUAGAGGAAAUCCUGAGAGGCUGCAAAAUUAUGAUUAUAUCUCAUAUACCACAGUAUAUUGUUCCGAUGAAUCUUUUGCAUGGUUAGCUGUUGUUUACAUAUAAAUACCUUCUCCGGAAAUAAAAAAUGUACUGAAGGUAACAGGAGCUGCAAAGCUUAGCAGAUCCGAUGAUCCCAAGAUCAUGCAGUAAGGCUUGCUUCUUCAUCCAUAAAUAAAGCACAUUUGCAUCCAUUCAGUCAAAUUAGCUCCAUUAAAAAGGUGGUUAUAAUUAGCUCCUUUUUCUGGUUCACGGGUAAAAUUCUUGCAUGCCUGCUGUUUUGAUUAAAUCCACCAUUGUCUUCCAAUAGCUAGUGCUAAUUCUUCCAAGGAAAUCUUCAGUUGAGGUGUUAUUUUAUUCUGCACUUCCGUUAGUUGUCUAAUUUACGCCAAGUCCCUGCAGUGUUUCCUUAAGCCAUCCUCUUUGUCUUGCCUUUGAAAUUUACCAAAUCUUACAAGAAAUCAAUACUUAAUUGAUUAUUCACUUUUCUGCAGCUUCAAACAGCAAGCACGCAUAAGAUCCUGGAGUAGUCCCCCGAUUUCCAAUGCAGGAGGUUGCUUGGUGGCAGAGCUCUGCAAGUGUCCAACAGCAGGCAUUCCAUGGAGCCGUGCACUGGCGUGGAGUGCCAGCCAGCGUCUGAUAAAGAAAACGAAGAUACUCUAACGAAGCAGGAAAACUUCCUGGAUGAGGCAGAUCCAUCUCAAGGCUUUGGAUAAAAGGCUGAAGCAGGAGCAAUUGGAUACCAGAACAUUAUAAAUUUUUUUUUUUUUUACAUUAUUCCUUUUGCUUUUUGCUUACCAUUUUCUUCCCAUGGCACUGAAGUGGAAUAUCCCAAGUGCCACCGAACUCAGAGAAUUCCACGCCGGAAUGGGGGUGGCAUCCUGUUAUUACAGAAAUAUCUUUCAUAAAUUAUGAUUUUUUUUUUCAACAAAUGGAAGUAAUGCAACACCUAUUUGGUAUACUCAUCAUAUACGUUAAAUCUAACAAUGGCAUAUAAUUGAUAACAUCAGCAGGUCAAUCUACAAAUAUUCUGUAUCAUGGCAUUUCUGAGAAGCAAUUUUUAAUUUAACAACACGGAGAAUCUGGUGUGAGAGAGACCUGACUUACUGAUCUGAGAUGCAGUUUUUCAUUGUCAUGGAAUUCUUAAAUUUCAGACAGAUUCUGCAGAAAGAAACCAAAUCUAACUCGGUUCAACAAAUUCUUGAUUCAUCAGAUUUGCUUUAAGAUGUGACUUCCGGCUGUUUCAACAGAACGACACUACCUGCAAGUGUGCACUAACCUAGAGAAGGUUCAGACAUAAACACUCAUGUGCCAUGUUGACGAUGUACUCUAAUACAACCUUUUUGGAGGACAAUUUUUAAGUAUGGUAAAGUCUCUAAAAUGGGCUUAACUAUUCGUCCCACAAUAUCUUUCUAAUUGUUUUCUGGAGACAGGGUCUCACCAUGUCUCCCAAGCUGGUCUCAAACUCCUGGGCUCAAGCAAU